CAUGGAGUGGAUCAGUGGUAGAUCGCCCCGCUCGGGUCGGGGAGGGCGCGGGUUCGAUUCCCGCCUCCAUGUCC
rnacentral:tRNA from 1 species